AGGAAUCUUGUGUGAGUUCAGAAAAUAAUUUACAAGAAGAAUUAGAAGAAAAACGUCCGUCUGAAGAAAACUGAGGCAGUGAUGUAAGCUGAGACAGUUUCACCCCGAGCUACAACUGCAUCAGAUAACCACACACAGGGGAAGGAAGUCCCCACAUGCUGAGAAAUCAUCAGCGCACUACCCAACACUGUAGUUGCUCUAGUCCAAAUUUAUAGCAGAAAUAAACCUGUUCAUAUGCUGAUAUAAAGUUCCUUUAGCCUAUAUGAACACUUUAUUACUCUAAAAACCAUACAGGAAGUGAUUUUAAAAAAAACCCACACGCACUUUAAACGAAGUUUUAGGCCUUAAGAGUAGAGUUUGAGCAACAGGUGGAUGGUGAACAGGCAGUAACCUCAUCUAAUGUAAGUCCUAGAAGUUCUGGAAGUGGACCUCUGUUCAAUCUUUUUGGAUGGCUAAUGGAAUAAGCUGAAAAAACACAUGGCAUGCUGUGCGAUACGUCCCACACGUUUGUACUUCAGUGUACAUACAAGAUUUUAUUAGCCUGAUGCUGCAGUGAUUUGCAAUUUAAUUCAAUUUUAUUUAUACAGCACCAAAUCACAACAAGUCACCUCAAGGUUCUUUAUAUUGUAAAAUAAAAACCCUACAAUAAUACAGAGAAACACCCAACAAUAUGAGCCCCUAUGAGCAAGUGCUUUGGCGACAGUGGGAAGGAGAAACUCCCUUUUAACAGGAAGAAACCUCCGACAGAACCAGGCUCAGGGAGGGGCGGGGCCAUCUGCUGCAACCGGUUGGAGGUCGUCUUUACAGGCAGCCUACUAACCAAGUUAGCCAGCAUGCUAAAGCUGAGACCUCAGUCUAAAGUCUGUGUGUGAUAUCCAGAGAUGGGCAGUAAUGCGUUACUGUAAUCCAAUUACUUUUUUCAAAUAGCAAGUAAUGUAAGGGAUUACUAUUGCAAAAAAUUAGAUUACUGUUACUUUAGCACACUGCGUUACUAAACUCUUAUGAUUUUGCUUAUGACAUUAUUUUAUUUUAUAUGCUGGAAUAUGCAGAAAAUAGGCUUCAAUGUUAAACAAUUUCUUCAAGUCAAAGACUGUUGUAUAUAAUUUAAUUUUUGCUUGAUGCAUAAAGUUAAAAGAUUAAAAGUAAUAAAACAAGUUUUAAAAAGAGGCUUUCCAUUUGAUUCACUUUUAUAAGAUAAUUAUGCAUAAAAAAUAGAAUUGGGCUGCAGGGAUUGGGCUGCUGCUUUAUUACACAUUCAGGUUGUGUAUCAUGUUUUUAAAAAGUAACUAAGUAACUCAUUACUUUUGAAAAUAAGUAAUCAGUAAAGUAACAGGAUUUUUUUGGAGAAGUAAUCUUAAUUAGUUACUAAUUACUUCUUUCAAGUAACUUGACCAACACUUGUGGUGUCUGGUGUAUGUCAUACAGAGUCAGCUGAUCUGAAACACAUUUGAUUUACAAGGUAAGUAAGAAACCAUUUCAUACAGCUGAGGUAAAUGUUGAUAAAAGUUCGACCAGCUGUCUGAACUAAAACGUUUGGUUGGUGGGUGGGCGUGUCCUAGAUGGGCAGGCUCUACUGAAGGAUUCAUGCGUGAAGUAUUACUCAAGGCCAAACUGGCAAAGACUGAGAGGCAUCAAGAGGUCGCAGGGCCCUGCAGCCAAACAAACACACACACAUGAAAACAUCCAGGGAUUCAUGAGUUUAAUGUUUCUGAAGUCCUCAUCACAACCGUGACUGAACACAAAGUAAGAGCAGGAGGUUUCCGGGCUCCCGUCCUGAUGCCCGUCGGUGUUCCUGAUGUAAACGAGAGAAGCGAGCUUCAGUGAAAACGUAACGUGGGAGUGAUUCUCGAUGAAAUCAGCAACGCAAAGAAGGCGAGCUCUCGGUUUGUGCUGCGGUCCUCCCUGCAGGCCUCCUCUCACGCUUUCAGACUGUUUGUUUCCGACUCCAGUGCGUUGCCACGGAAACCCGUGUUUAACAGCAGGUGAGGGGAGGAAGGAAACGCCACCUCUCCACCUCCAGCCCUCCGGCUCCUUUUUGCCUCCUCAGUCUGAAGCAAAAGUGUGUGAAGAGUGAAAAAGUGUCACACAGAGUUUGUAAUUCAGUCUUAAAUGCGUCUGGAGAAAGAAUCCAGCUCCUCAAACUGCUUCCAGAUCAGCUCAUUAAGCCCAGCAGAGCAGGAGGGGGGGGCACUCACAUUAACAGCACGCAGCGGGCGAACAGAAGCCAGGCCAGGAUUCCUGCGAGGUGGCGUCAUGUGCAGCUGUACGUCCCCGGGGUCCAGACCCGGUCAGGACGGGUGGAGACUCAGGGUGGAGGGGUGGGGCUGAAGUCAAAAACAUUAAUUUCUAUUAUCCUGACAUGUGGAUGUUGUCUGCUGUUGUUUCAUUGUCCAGUUUACGGUAGAAUCACCUCUCGUGACCUCUCGUUUCAGUCAAACGGACCGUGACGCAGCUCCCCCGGUUUCAACCUGUCUGAAAACUUUCUUCUGAUUGGCUCAGAAGAUUUGAACAGAAGCAAGAAGGGAGCAUACUGGAUCAAUAAACAUCACGUUGUAUAAAAUAAGACAUUAAAUUGCUGUUGAAGCUACAUGAGGGAUGAAAGUCAGUAGAAGCAAAACAGAAUCCAUGUGUGUGAAUGAGACGGAGGCAGGUGGAAAGGUGAACAUGUAAGCAAAGAGAGGAGUUUAAAUACCUGGGCUCAACCAUCCAAAGCAACAGACAGCGCACAAGAGAGGUGAAGAGAGUGCAUGCAGGGUGGAGUGGGUGGAGACGGGUGCCGUUUAUUGAGACAGGAUAGCAGGAAGAGUGAAAGGGAAGGUGUAAAGAUGGAGGUGAGACCUGCUGUGAUGUAUCGUUUGGAGACGGCCGAGCUGAAGACGUUCAGAUGUUCACGAGCGGGAUGGACGGGUUUAGAAAUGAGUCCGUCAAAGGGACGGAGAUGGUUUCAGCACGUGCAGAGAAGGAUGGAUGGAGCUUCCAGGCAGGAGGAGACUGUGGAUGAAGGAGGACAUGCAGAGACAUGACAGAGGAGGAUGCUGGGAUAGGAGGAGAUGGACGCAGAUGAUCUGCUGUGGCGCCCCCUACAGCAAGCAACCAGAAGAAAAAGUAGCAGUUGGUGACUGGAACGUUACUGUGCUGGAAAUGUGGUAAUUUGGACCAAAACCAAUAAAACUCCAGUUUGAAAGUCAGUAGAAUUCCAGCAUGAAUAAUAACUGGUAACGAUUUGUUGUUACAUUUGCUCGUUUGGGCACUCUUCUGCUCCUGUGCACCUCCCCUCUGUCAUUCGCUGAUAACUUCCACAGAUGAAGUGAAGACAGCUGCUGGUGACUUUGAGUGGAUUAUAUGGAGAAAAUAAUUAUUAAUCAGCUGUUUGGAUUCUCCAUGAAUACUGAAUGACCCAUCCGUCUUCAUUUAAAGCUUUAUUCUCUCGUGUUGUUGUCACGUGAUAAUUACGCUGCAGGCAGAAACAUGUUCAGAACAAAGAUGCAUCAGUAGUGAACGCUGUCAACCUUUCUUCUCCUUAUGCUUCAUAUUAAGAGCAAUAUGUUAAAAAUAGAACGGAACAAAACCAUGUGACUCCACUUUUCCUUUAAUUCAUUUCUGUACAUACACCAGCACCGAACUCCACUUCCUGUCCACAGAGGCUCGUUUGUGCGUCGAUAAAUUAUUUUUUCAUUUGAUAAACUUCACACUGACUCUUCCUGUUUGGUCAGAUGGACCCAAACUUUGUCUAACUGCACCUGGAUCUUAUCCUGAACAUUUUCACUGCUGUCCGUGAAGUCCCACGGCGCCCUCUGCCCAUCGUCCUCAGCCGUCUCCUUCGUCCUCGUGGUCGUGAUGGGAGCCGAUGUCCUGUAGGUCGGGCGGCUCCUCCAGCGCCUCGUGAUGGGCAUGCUGGAUUGACACCAUGCCGGUCA